GCCUGGCUGGCUCAGUCAGUUGAGUGUCUGACUUUGGCUCAGGUCACGAUCUCACCGUUCGAGGGUUCAAGCCCCGUGUUGGGCU
rnacentral:tRNA from 1 species